CUAUUGAGCGGGCUGACCUCUCGGGGUUACAGCCUUGCUGAAUUAUUCACCCUUGUCUUUUGCGUACUUCUUGUUUCCUUGGUGGGUUCGCCCACCACUAGGACAAACAUAAACCUUUUGUAAUUGCAAUCAGCGUCAGUAACAAAUUAAUAAUUACAACUUUCAACAACGGAUCUCUUGGUUCUGGCAUCGAUGAAGAACGCAGCGAAAUGCGAUAAGUAGUGUGAAUUGCAGAAUUCAGUGAAUCAUCGAAUCUUUGAACGCACAUUGCGCCCUUUGGUAUUCCAAAGGGCAUGCCUGUUCGAGCGUCAUUUGUACCCUCAAGCUUUGCUUGGUGUUGGGCGUCUUGUCUCUAGCUUUGCUGGAGACUCGCCUUAAAGUAAUUGGCAGCCGGCCUACUGGUUUCGGAGCGCAGCACAAGUCGCACUCUCUAUCAGCAAAGGUCUAGCAUCCAUUAAGCCUUUUUUUCAACUUUUGACCUCGGAUCAGGUAGGGAUACCCGCUGAACUUAAGCAUAUCAAUAAGCGGAGGAA
rnacentral:rRNA from 1 species